GUUGAUAUAAACUUUUCGUCUUGGGGUUCAACUGGUGGUUGGAUACCAAAUUAUUAUAUUUUCAGAGGAAAAAAGGCAUGCAGUAAUUUAAGAAAUCUUACUGGAAAUUCAUGGUUUACAUUUGUCAAAGCGUUUAACAUUCCAACUGAUAGAUGUCCAAUACCAGUGGACACAUAUAUUACAUCAGGGUAUGAUUUGACGAAAUUCGAAGAUAAUAAUUUGCCCAAAGUAUUUUUUUAUGGAAAAUAUAAAGUGGUGGUACGCUAUAAAAAUGUGGAAAAUAAAGAAGUUGGUUGCAUGGUUUCGGAAAUAAAUUUUAUACGACCAUGGGAAACACCAAUUUAAUAAAAUUAAUACACACUCAUAAUACUUGUUAUUGAGUUGCUGUAAAAAAUAAAGGAUAUGGGUACUAUAUUAUUAUUUCUUUAUUGUACACUAAUAUUGUUAAACUCUGCUCACAUCUGUUAUUACCGCUAGAAAAUAAAUAAUAUAAUGAUAAUCAGUUAUCAGCAACAUCAA
rnacentral:sRNA from 1 species